GUCAUGAGUUACAUUUUUGAACAUUGUGAGUUGGAAGCCUUCCCUGACCUCCCAGACAAAGAUACGCAAGACUGGAGUUUGGAUGGGAGUUCUGGGCUGGAGGAGAACAUUUUACAAUAAUAAUUUUAGAAAGACUCCAUGAAAUGACUGAUCAUCCCCAUGUAGCAGAUGAGGAAGAGGAGGCCGAGAGACAACAUAGCGUCCAAGCUCCUACCCACUGUGUCACACUGCCCCCUGCUGAGCGCCUACUAAGUGCCAGGCUCUAGAAAAGAGUGGUGUUUGAGACAUUCCAAGGAGCUUCUGUGUGCGUCACAUUAGGAGACUGAGCUGCAGAGAUGUUAAGAAACUGUCUUUACAUAACACAACUAUUAAGAAGAAGAAAGAAGAGGAGGAGGAAAAGGAGGGGAACUGAGAAGAGAUAUUUCAUCCCAGUCAGGACAGAGAUGGUGGUCAUUUGAGCUGGCUUCUUACCAGGACUCACGGCAUACCGGUCAUAAGCCACUGUGAAGAGUGGGUGGCCACUGAAGUUUUUCUCUGGAGGAGGAGCAGCAGGUCUGCGAAGGCUGGGUGACCAGAAUCCGGGUGGCUCCUGGAGCAGAUCUGUGAGGAUGAAAGUGCCAGCAGCCCUUUCUCUCUCCUCAGACGCGUCAAGCGAGGUCUCCAUCGCUCUCAUUCAGCCUCAGUCUCUUGAUCUGCACCUUCAGCAU